rnacentral:lncRNA from 1 species
GCAACGACCAAUAAAACACACAAAAGAAAAAGGAAAAUACAAACAAUAUCUAAACGACAUUGGAGAUGAUAAUGACGUUGUCGUCCGUUGCGAGAUUGUUGACAACGUUGAGGUGGAUGAGAGCUUGCCAGCGGAAUGAGGGUAGAGGAAAUUGAAAUAAAGGCAAAAGACAUAAUUGAUACGCUUCAGAGAUAAGAUAAUGCAAGAAACGGCAAACAAUAAAAAGUAAUAGUUAAAAUGGAAACAGAAUCUGGAGUCGGAGAAUCAUGGAGGCAGUAAUCGACUGGUCCGUUAGUUGUUCAUGGGGCAUGGGUCUAAAUGCAAAUCGGUAAUUAUUGCAAAGGAAAAUAUGAAGUAGGAAAGUAGUUGAGCAUUCGCCGAGACGCUGAAGGAGUAAAAGUAAAGAAAAUAAGAUUAAAAAAAUAACAGGACGAAGGACGAUGAUUUCACCGUUGACAAAAUUUCAUGGCUCAUCGAAUGCUGCAGACAAUAUGCAGCAAAAUCUGCGUCAAGAUAUGGGUCAUUGCCUCAAAGGAGAAGAAAAACCUUUUAAAGAAAGUUCACACAGAAAAAUCGAAAUGAGGUUGUGUCAACCGCGAGGAGCUUUGACUGACAUUUAAAGGAAAGAAGGAUUAACAGUUAACUGAACAGCAACAUAUUUUCUCUAGAGGCUCAGCAGUAAGCGAACAUCAGUCUUGAAACAAACGGAUUGCCAAUUUGGUGACAAACAGUGCAAGCAUUUGAAGUAUAAGAAUUUGAGGUAAUACAUCUAAAACUUGAACAUGAAGGUAUAGUGAUAUUCAACUCGAUGGCUGAACCAUGGAUGUGAUGCCCUUUCGUCUCCCUCUAUCAAUCACCUGCUUUUUCUGUCACGAGUAUAAGCCCAUAUAAGGAGGACGAGCCAACAAACAGAAACAAAAUUCAUCCGCACCUAAACAUGUAAGGAUAACGCAAGCGCAACCAAGAAAUGAGACUUUUUGCAAGGACGGUGAACCCACCAGUAGUAAGAGUAAGGGGACCUGCUCAAUUAGAACUACUUAGAUGAUCGGACUGGAGACGGCAGAUGAAUCUAAGUACGAAAGUGAGGAGGUCCCAUCAAACUUCGACACGGUCACGAAACCGAUAUCUGCAAGGUCUUACGAGCUGGUCUGAGUGGAUAUUGACGAUAAGUGACUACACAAAAGCGAUGGUAACUAUCAGCCAUCACCCUGUGCAUAAAGAGUCCCCUAAAAUCACAUAUGCUAAAAAGUAUAAGACCGUAAGUACAGAAAUAUGAUGGGAUCACUCUACUAACGCUAGUAUUAAGUACAGAGGAAGCAGUGGAGAGCGCGAGAGCCAUACUACCCACCUUUCAGUUUGACUUCGUUGCAGCGGUGGGCAAAUGAAAAAUCUCGUCUAAAACAUAAUUCGGCGCAAUAACAAGGGAGAAGGAACUGCCCAAGGUAAUAUGAAUUCUAAUAGGCCCCUAUGUAAUAGGAGAAGAUGCGGAGAGACUAAGGGCCCCUGCAGCACUGAUAAGGAAGAGGAAACGAACAUCCAUUUUUUAUUUGACUCUCCUGCUUUGGACUGGAUGGUCUAUCACAGCUACCCAACGUCAAAGUCAUGGAUCUAAUGAAGUCCGUCAUGGAAUGUAAAUGGCUGAAUAACGAAAUCUUUUGGCCAAGCAUUUGUGAGCUCACGAGGCAUCAAGCCUAAGGAAAUAUACUGAAAAUUCCUAUCGAUGGGUCACCGCAAAUAAAAAACAAUACUUUAAUUUUAGAUGUUGAUAACACCAGGACUCGAACACUGGUCUUCCGAAUGUUACAAAGCAAUGCUAACCUUGGUAUAAAGGGAAGUAAACCAUUCAUCAACUACUUGGUUGAUACCAUGCUGUGAUAGAGGAAUUCUAUCGAGCUCAAAUUAACUUAAUUCAGGUCACUCUAAAUCAAUUCUGCUCAUCUCGUUUUGAGUCUCAAUAACUUAGUUCAUAUCAGCCUAAUGCAACUCUACUCAACUCAACUAAAUUCCCCAGUGUGUUUGUGCUGAGCAUUGUUGUUGUGAUGGCGAUGUGAUGGCAACAAGCAACUGUCAUUAUGCCAUCAAGAUCUAUAUCAUUUACCAUGUCACAUGCAGAGAAGCCAUUGAAAGUACAGGUACGAUAAAAUUAAUGAAGUGGGAAGGAUCGACAACGCAAAUUCAAAAGAAAAUGAAAAGCAAAUAACGGCUGCAGAAGCAAUAAAGACUUACGUGCAUAUGCGUGCAUCGUGUAUGAGUUGAGGUUUGGUGGUGACGAUGUGUGAAAAGAAUGUAUUUAAACCUAAAGCAAGAGGGUGGCAAGUGCAAUGGCAUCGCUGAUGAUGACGAUGAUGACGCUGACAACAAUGCACUCGGUAUGGAAAUGCUAUUAUCAGAAGCAGCAUCAAAAGCAACAGCUAAACGAAACAUUUUGAGAAAAAUUUUUUGUUUUCGACAAAUUGAAAAACUUUUACCGUUAAGAAUCCACA